GGAUUCCCCUAGUAACUGCGAGUGAAGCGGGAAAAGCUCAAAUUUAAAAUCUGGCGGUCUCUGGYCGUCCGAGUUGUAAUCUAGAGAAGUGCUGCCCGCGCUGGACCGUGUACAAGUCUCCUGGAAUGGAGCGUCAUAGAGGGUGAGAAUCCCGUCUCUGACACGGACUACCAGGGCUUUGUGGUACGCUCUCAAAGAGUCGAGUUGUUUGGGAAUGCAGCUCAAAAUGGGUGGUAAAUUCCAUCUAAAGCUAAAUAUUGGCGAGAGACCGAUAGCGAACAAGUACCGUGAGGGAAAGAUGAAAAGAACUUUGGAAAGAGAGUUAAACAGUACGUGAAAUUGCUGAAAGGGAAACGCUUGAAGUCAGUCGCGUUGGCCGGGGAUCAGCCUCGCUUUUUUGYGUGGUGUACUUUCUGGUUGACGGGUCAGCAUCAAUUUUGACCGCUGGAAAAAGGCUUGGGGAAUGUGGCAGCUUCGGCUGUGUUAUAGCCCUUUGUCACAUACAGCGGUUGGGAUUGAGGAACUCAGCACGCCGCAAGGCCGGGUUUCGACCACGUUCGUGCUUAGGAUGCUGGCAUAAUGGCUUUAAGCGACCCGUCUUGAAACACGGACCAAGGAGUCUAACAUGCCUGCGAGUGUUUGGGUGGAAAACCCGAGCGCGUAAUGAAAGUGAAAGUUGAGAUCCCUGUCGUGGGGAGCAUCGACGCCCGGACCAGAACUUUUGGGACGGAUCCGCGGUAGAGCAUGUAUGUUGGGACCCGAAAGAUGGUGAACUAUGCCUGAAUAGGGUGAAGCCAGAGGAAACUCUGGUGGAGGCUCGUAGCGAUUCUGACGUGCAAAUCGAUCGUCAAAUUUGGGUAUAGGGGCGAAAGACUAAUCGA
rnacentral:rRNA from 1 species